rnacentral:rRNA from 1 species
UACGGAGGAGGCAAGCGUUAUCCGGAAUUAUUGGGCGUAAAGAGCGCGCAGGCGGUCGUUCAAGUCGCGUGUGAAAGCCCCCGGCUCAACUGGGGAGGGUCACGCGAUACUGAUCGACUCGAAGGCAGGAGAGGGUAGUGGAAUUCCCGGUGUAGUGGUGAAAUGCGUAGAUAUCGGGAGGAACACCAGUGGCGAAGGCGACUACCUGGCCUGUUCUUGACGCUGAGGCGCGAAAGCUAGGGGAGCAAACGGG